rnacentral:rRNA from 1 species
AGCGAACGCUGGCGGCAGGCUUAACACAUGCAAGUCGAGCGGGCCCCUCGGGGUCAGCGGCGGACAGGUGAGUAACGCGUGGGAACGUGCCUUCUGGUUCGGAAUAACCCUGGGAAACUAGGGCUAAUACCGGAUACGCCCUUAUGGGGAAAGGUUUACUGCCGGAAGAUCGGCCCGCGUCUGAUUAGCCAGUUGGUGGGGUAAUGGCCUACCAAGGCGACGAUCAGUAGCUGGUCUGAGAGGAUGAUCAGCCACACUGGGACUGAGACACGGCCCAGACUCCUACGGGAGGCAGCAGUGGGGAAUAUUGGACAAUGGGCGCAAGCCUGAUCCAGCCAUGCCGCGUGAGUGAUGAAGGCCUUAGGGUUGUAAAGCUCUUUUAUCCGGGACGAUAAUGACGGUACCGGAGGAAUAAGCCCCGGCUAACUUCGUGCCAGCCGCCGCCGUAA